rnacentral:rRNA from 1 species
UAAAGGUAUUCCGGUAGACGAUGGGGAUGCGUUCCAUUAGAUAGUAGGCGGGGUAACGGCCCACCUAGUCUUCGAUGGAUAGGGGUUCUGAGAGGAAGGUCCCCCACAUUGGAACUGAGACACGGUCCAAACUCCUACGGGAGGCAGCAGUGAGGAAUAUUGGUCAAUGGGCGCAGGCCUGAACCAGCCAAGUAGCGUGAAGGAUGACUGCCCUAUGGGUUGUAAACUUCUUUUAUAAAGGAAUAAAGUCGGGUAUGGAUACCCGUUUGCAUGUACUUUAUGAAUAAGGAUCGGCUAACUCCGUGCCAGCAGCCGCGGUAAUACGGAGGAUCCGAGCGUUAUCCGGAUUUAUUGGGUUUAAAGGGAGCGUAGAUGGAUGUUUAAGUCAGUUGUGAAAGUUUGCGCCUCAACCGUAAAAUUGCAGUUGAUACUGGAUAUCUUGAGUGCAGUUGAGGCAGGCGGAAUUCGUGGUGUAGCGGUGAAAUGCUUAGAUAUCACGAAGAACUUCGAUUGCGAAGGCAGCCUGCUAAGCUGCAACUGACAUUGAGGCUCGAAAGUGUGGGUAUCAAACAGGAUUAGAUACCCUGGUAGUCCACACGGUAAACGAUGAAUACUCGCUGUUUGCGAUAUAC